rnacentral:rRNA from 1 species
UACGAAUGGAGCAAGCGUUGUUCGGAUUUACUGGGCGUAAAGGGCGCGUAGGCGGUUUGUUAAGUUGGAAGUGAAAGCCCCGGGCUUAACUCGGGAAUUGCUUUCAAGACUGGCAGACUGGAGUGUGGAAGAGGUUGGUGGAAUUCCCAGUGUAGAGGUGAAAUUCGUAGAUAUUGGGAAGAACAUCCGUGGCGAAGGCGGCCAACUGGUCCAUAACUGACGCUGAGGCGCGAAAGCGUGGGGAGCAAACAGG